GACGACCUCUGGCGGCACGCCUAACACAUGCAAGUCGAACGGAGAAAAUGAUUUCGGUUAUUUUCUUAGUGGCGGACGGGUGAGUAACACGUGAGGAACCUGCCUUUGAGAGUGGGAUAGCUUCUGGAAACGGAUGGUAAUACCGCAUAACAUAGCGAAACCGCAUGAUUUUGCUAUCAAAGUAUUUCGCUCAGAGAUGGCCUCGCGUCUGAUUAGAUAGUUGGUGAGGUAACGGCUCACCAAGUCGACGAUCAGUAGCCGGACUGAGAGGUUGAACGGCCACAUUGGGACUGAGACACGGCCCAGACUCCUACGGGAGGCAGCAGUGGGGGAUAUUGCACAAUGGGGGAAACCCUGAUGCAGCGAUGCCGCGUGGAGGAAGAAGGUUUUCGGAUUGUAAACUCCUGUCGUAAGGGAAGAGAAAGGACUGUACCUUACAAGAAAGCUCCGGCUAACUACGUGCCAGCAGCCGCGGUAAUACGUAGGGAGCGAGCGUUGUCCGGAAUGACUGGGUGUAAAGGGAGCGUAGGCGGGAUGGCAAGUCAGAUGUGAAACCUGAGGGCUCAACCUUCAGACUGCAUUUGAAACUGCUGUUCUUGAGUGAAGUAGAGGUAAGCGGAAUUCCUGGUGUAGCGGUGAAAUGCGUAGAGAUCAGGAGGAACAUCGGUGGCGAAGGCGGCUUACUGGGCUUUUACUGACGCUGAGGCUCGAAAGCGUGGGGAGCAAACAGGAUUAGAUACCCUGGUAGUCCACGCUGUAAAC
rnacentral:rRNA from 1 species